GAUGAACGCUGGCGGCGUGCUUAACACAUGCAAGUCGAACGAUGAAGCUCAGCUUGCUGGGUGGAUUAGUGGCGAACGGGUGAGUAACACGUGAUUAACCUGCCCUUAACUCUGGGAUAAGCCUGGGAAACUAGGUCUAAUACCGGAUAGGAGCGCCUACCGCAUGGUGGGUGUUGGAAAGAUUUAUCGGUUUUGGAUGGACUCGCGGCCUAUCAGCUUGUUGGUGAGGUAAUGGCUCACCAAGGCGCCGACGGGUAGCCGGCCUGAGAGGGUGACCGGCCACACUGGGACUGAGACACGGCCCAGACUCCUACGGGAGGCAGCAGUGGGGAAUAUUGCACAAUGGGCGAAAGCCUGAUGCAGCGACGCCGCGUGAGGGAUGACGGCCUUCGGGUUGUAAACCUCUUUCAGUAGGGAAGAAGCGAAAGUGACGGUACCUGCAGAAGAAGCACCGGCUAACUACGUG
rnacentral:rRNA from 1 species